rfam:Xenopus laevis strain J chromosome 2L, whole genome shotgun sequence.
ACGCAUCCAUUGAUAGACCAUAAGCCAUUUUAGUUGCUUUUUUGGUUUGCACAGAGAUGCAAGAGAGAAAUUCCUCGCGCUUUCUGUCUGCCUUAAUACAUGGCUUUUCAGAUUGAAUAGAGGAAUACAAAU